rnacentral:sRNA from 1 species
ACCACUUCCACUUACCACUUCCACUUACCACUUCCACUUACCACUUCCACUUACCACUUCCACUUACCACUUCCACUUACCACUUCCACUUACCACUUCCACUUACNCACUUCCAUUACUACCACGACUACCACUAACCAUCACCACUUUCAUCUCCAUUCUUGUCAUUAUUGGCUUGUUGUACGUUGUUCAAAUGUUUCAACGUAUGUACAUUUGUGACUACGAUUUCUUGUUAGCGAUAUAAACGAAGAGGAUAAAGACUUUGGAGUAAAUAAUUUUGGCCGUGCCACUAGCAUAAUGUAUUUGUGCGUCUAGGUAUCCUUAGCGUUGCAAGUGGAAAGUGGCUUCACACUAUAAAUGGUUGACACAGCUAAUACAUUAGACAUAAACUUUCUCAGCAUUCACGAACAGUAAAAAUACUAUUGGUAAAUGAUUCAUGGAUAUAUAGUAUUAGUAUUUGGCAUUCGUUUCGCUUAUGAAUUGUGAUUGAACCGAUAUCGUAUCAUCAUUAAAAGUUUCCUGUACAUCUUCUACAUCAUUCAAACAUGUGGAAGAAUCAUAAAUUUCACNAAAAUAAUGUCUCAAUCGCAUACGUAUUGUCUGCUCUGACUUGGNUUGUCUUCUGUAUGUGAUCCAAAUAGACGAGAAUGUCAAUCCAUCAUGUACGACCNAUCACACUUCCCUAUAGCUGAAACCGAGUGCAAUGCCUUUUGUAGCAANCAUGAUCUGUGCCUUUUCAAGUUAGGGGGUCCCNGACUCCGUCAAAGGGAAUUUUUCAUUCUUCCUUCANUUAAAUCUCCUCGNGGAAAUGGUUAUCCA